rnacentral:misc_RNA from 1 species
AGCUUCUGAAAUAUAAAAUGCUGCUAGUAGUUGAAAUUUUAUUCUGAAAAAUCAUGAACAUCGUGAUAAAUACUAUUUUGUGCAGCUUGUCUCCAUAUUUAUUGCAUUUAUCUCCUGCCAUUUUUCACGACGUGUGCAUCUGUUUUUCUUUUAUUAUUUGCUGAUAAUUUCUAUCAAAAUUUCCAGGGGAUGGUAAAAUAUGUAGUUAGACCUGCUUUACCCUCUGGCUGUGAAGAAGAAGCUGGCAAUUGUGGUGCUAUUGGUGCCAAAGACUCCUUAAAUU